rnacentral:lncRNA from 1 species
AAAAAUAUCAGAAAAUCAAGCAUCUAAAAACAUAAGGAAAAAUACUCUUCCAUUGAAAAUGUUUUGGGGAAUUCUUAUAACAUUGAUUCUGGGACUGCUUGAAACGAAAGAGGCUAGAAAAUGAGAUGAAUCUGCUAGUCUUCGAGUUUUCUGGUUCACUUUCGAUUGGAUUUUUGUUCUGAUCCUUAUAUUAUUCACUGUGGGUUCAAAAUUAGGACUUGGUCUUGAGCUAAGUUAGAUAUUUGGGGGUUGUUGAUCUUGAGUUAUUAUUCUAUUGGAUGUUUUGCUGCUGAUUGCCACUGCUGAACCUCUCAUAUCUCUAUUCUUUUGCUUUCCACUUUUCAGUUAUAUUUUGG